AUUGAACGCUGGCGGCAGGCCUAACACAUGCAAGUCGAACGAGUGGCGGACGGGUGAGUAAUGUCUGGGAAACUGCACGAUGGAGGGGGAUAACUACUGGAAACGGUAGCUAAUACCGCAUACCAUCGGAUGUGCCCAGAUGUGAUUAGCUAGUGGGGGGGGUAACGGCUCACAGAGGCGACGAUCCCUAGCUGGUCUGAUAGGAUGACCAGCCACACUGGAACUGAGACACGUUCCAGACUCCUACGGUAGGCAGCAGUGGGGAAUAUUUCACAAUGGGCGCAAGCCUGAUGCAGCCAUGCCGCGUGUAUUAAGAAGGGCUUCGGGUUGUAAAGUACUUUCAGCGAGGAGGCGUUACUCGCAGAAGAAGCACCGGCUAACUCCGUGCCAGCAGCCGCGGUAAUUC
rnacentral:rRNA from 1 species